rnacentral:rRNA from 1 species
AAGCGGCGGAGCAUGCGGAUUAAUUCGAUGCAACGCGAAGAACCUUACCAAGGCUUGACAUACACCGGUAACGCCCAGAGAUGGGUGCCCCUUUGUGGUCGGUGUACAGGUGGUGCAUGGUUGUCGUCAGCUCGUGUCGUGAGAUGUUGGGUUAAGUCCCGCAACGAGCGCAACCCUCGUCCUAUGUUGCCAGCGGGUCAUGCCGGGGACUCAUGGGAGACUGCCGGGGUCAACUCGGAGGAAGGUGGGGAUGACGUCAAAUCACCAUGCCCCUUAUGUCUUGGGCUUCACGCAUGCUACAAUGGCCGGUACAAAGGGCUGCGAUACCGCGAGGUGGAGCGAAUCCCAGAAAGCCGGUCUCAGUUCGGAUUGGGGUCUGCAACUCGACCCCAUGAAGUCGGAGUCGCUAGUAAUCGCAGAUCAGCAACGCUGCGGUGAAUACGUUCCCGGGCCUU